GAACCUUGUUGUGGACAUUUCCGCAGAAGAUCCUUGAACCUAUCCCAUGUCUCAGAAAGUGACUCUAGUUCCACUUGCACAAAAGAGGAUAUUUCAUUCCUGAGCUU